CCUCCCACCUCGGCCUCCUAAAGUGCUGUGAUUAGAGUUUAAUCUUCUUGUCCUUGACACUGAAAUUUUUUUCUCUCCAACAACUUGCCGUCGUUUCUCGGAAUAGAGCUGCUUUCUCUGCAGGAAGGGUGUAGUUGAUUCAACCGCCACCCACUCACGCCAGCCCCGAAACGGAGGUCUCGCUAUGCCGCCCAGGGUAGAAUGUGCUCUCUCCCUCUCCUCUUCCUAGUAUCUGGGACUACAGAUUCCAUUUCGGAUGCCCCCAUGAGGACUGUGCGCUCCUGUACUGGAACUCAAGCGACCACUUGGCUCAAAAUCCAUUGCUAUUCUCUAGAAAUCCAGCCCAAUUCUCUUGGUUAAAGAUAAGGCUGGAGUGCAUUGGCACGAUCUCGUCUCACUGCAACCUCC
rnacentral:lncRNA from 1 species